AGGUGAUUAGACCUCUAGGGAGUGAGCGCUUCGUUUACACCGAAGAUGUCGGCGGUUCGAGCCCGUCAUCGCCCACCA
rnacentral:tRNA from 1 species